GCCGUAAGGCUCGCUAAUACCGCUUAUGCCGAAAGGUGAAAGGAGUAAUCCGUCUUAAAAUGACCCCGCGUCCGAUUAUCUAGUUGGGGGGGUAAAGGCCUACCAAGGCGACGAUCGGUAUCUGGUCUGAGAGGAUGAUCAGCCACAAUGGGACUGAACACGGCCCUUACUCCUACGGGAGGCAGCAGUGGGGAAUUUUACGCAAUGGGGGAAACCCUGACGUACGACACCGCGUGAGCGAAAAAGCCCUUUGGGGUGUAAAGCUCUGUCAGCUGGAACGAAAAAAAUGACGGUACCAGCAAAGGAAGCAUCGGCUAACUACGUGCCAGCAGCCGCGGUAAGACGUAGGAUGCGAGCGUUGUCCGGAUUCUUGGGCGUAAAGAGUUCGUAGGUGGUUUGUUAAG
rnacentral:rRNA from 1 species